rnacentral:rRNA from 1 species
AGAGUUUGAUCCUGGCUCAGGAUGAACGCUAGCGGCAGGCUUAACACAUGCAAGUCGAGGGGUAACAGGGAGCUUGCUCCGCUGACGACCGGCGCACGGGUGCGUAACGCGUAUAGAACCUACCUUUUACAGAGGGAUAGCCUUUAGAAAUGAAGAUUAAUACCUUAUAGUAUUGUAGACUGGCAUCAGUUUAUAAUUAAAGAUUUAUCGGUAAAAGAUGGCUAUGCGUCCUAUUAGUUAGUUGGUAAGGUAACGGCUUACCAAGACAGCGAUAGGUAGGGGUCCUGAGAGGGAGAUCCCCCACACUGGUACUGAGACACGGACCAGACUCCUACGGGAGGCAGCAGUGAGGAAUAUUGGACAAUGGAGGCAACUCUGAUCCAGCCAUGCCGCGUGCAGGAAGACUGCCCUAUGGGUUGUAAACUGCUUUUAUACAGGAAGAAACACUGCUACGUGUAGCAGCUUGACGGUACUGUAAGAAUAAGGACCGGCUAACUCCGUGCCAGCAGCCGCGGUAAUACGGAGGGUCCGAGCGUUAUCCGGAAUCAUUGGGUUUAAAGGGUCCGCAGGCGGUCAAUUAAGUCAGAGGUGAAAUCCCAUAGCUCAACUAUGGAACUGCCUUUGAUACUGGUUGACUUGAGUCAUAUGGAAGUAGAUAGAAUGUGUAGUGUAGCGGUGAAAUGCAUAGAUAUUACACAGAAUACCGAUUGCGAAGGCAGUCUACUACGUAUGUACUGACGCUGAGGGACGAAAGCGUGGGGAGCGAACAGGAUUAGAUACCCUGGUAGUCCACGCCGUAAACGAUGGAUACUAGUUGUUGGGCAUUAGCUCAGUGACUAAGCGAAAGUGAUAAGUAUCCCACCUGGGGAGUACGGUCGCAAGACUGAAACUCAAAGGAAUUGACGGGGGCCCGCACAAGCGGUGGAGCAUGU